CUGGCGUUCCCUCUCCGCGCACCUCCCGUCCCGCGCUAGGUAGCAGGCAAGAGUGUGGUUAUCGUUGGACCAGGAUUCAGGAUCUGACCGAGUAGCUGACUCUUAAUCCAGUUUGUGUUGAUCACCAGGAGGAUCUGGACCUCAGUGUUAUCACAUCUAAAGGUCAAGGAAGCUUUUCCUGAUCCACUAAGGACAAUCAAACCCUUCAUGAUCUAGAAUCUGGAGACUGUGUCUUCUGGGAAUAGUAUCAGAGAAAGACUGCCCUUACUGCCCACAUGUAGCAAAACUUUGAGACGUUGAAUUAUGGGUCCAUAAUCUCACAACUCAGAGGGGCACCUCUAGACUCUUGGAACUGCAUAUCUAUUGGAGACUUUAAGGUAAAGCUGAACAGAGACGUUUUUCUCCAGAAGCAGACAGCACCAUAGUCAUGGACAGCUUUCCCAAGAUCACAGAUCAAGACUUCUGUGCCGUCAUGAGACUCAUACCUCUUAAUUUUUUCUUGCUUAUGCUUCUGUGAACAAUAGAAUUGGAAAAGGGGUGGUCCCGCGUGCACCCAUAGGGUAUACUUUUAUUUGUGGAGGAUUUUGCUGCCAACCUUAUACAUGGGCAAACUUAUGCCUUCAUGGAUGGAAGAUAAAGGGCUAAUAUGGGUUAGAAAUUUUAAUGGUACCUUUGUUUCUCCAUAAUCAUUCAGAAACAGAACACUGGUCCACUCUUGUUAACCUACAUCAUAGGUUGAAGAGAACAUUGCCAGGAGGUCUUCAUCCUUCCAGAUGGGCACCAUUUGUUGGGUCUUUUUCCAUGGUAUGAAGAAAAUGAAGCAAUGAUUAGAAAUUGGUCCCUCGGCCGGGCACAAUGGCUCAUGCCUGUAAUCCCAUCACUUUGGCAGGCCGACGCGGGUGGAUCACCUGAGGUCAGGAGUUUGAGACCAGCCUGACCAAUGUGGUGAAACCCCAUCUCUACUAAAAAUACAAAAAUUAGCUGGGUGUGAUGGUGCACACCUGUAAUCCAGCUACUCGGGAGGCUGAGACAGGAGAAUUGCUUGAACCUGGGAGGCAGAGGUUGCAGUGAGCCAAGAUCACCCCACUGCAUUCCAGGUUGGGCAACAGAGCAAGACUCUGUCUCAAAAAAAAAAGAAGAAAGAAAGAAAUUGAUCCCUCAUAAUAGGCUGUAUAGCAGAUUCUACUGCAAAGGCUAUGGUUGCACAACAGCCUUCUUUGAAUUUGCUUGCUAAACUUUUACUGGAUAAUAGAAUUGCCUCCAAAAGUGCUGGGAUUACAGGUGUGAGCCACUGUGCCCAGCCUCUCCUGUUUAAUUGUAUUCAUUCUAAUGUUUACUUACUUCUUUAAUUUGUAAAAUUGGGUCACUUAGAGUUUUUUAGCCUAUCUUACCAUUUAGCCACUAUUACUGAUAAUUUGGAUGGAAAAGAAAAAUAAAU
rnacentral:lncRNA from 1 species